AGCAUUAACACCGAGCCAGGCUUCUUGUCGUCCUUAUGGGUCGAGGGCGACAAAUUAUAGCGGAUACUCCUAACACUGGCAGUUUUGCUAAGUAUAAGCUGCUGACAUAUCAACCAAGUAGUAAAGUCCAAAAAUGGUUAAAUUCCUUCUGUUGAACACAUUCGUUGUGUCGCCUGAACUAUGGCAACAGAUACAAGAACGUGAGGCUGCAAGCAUGCGACACGACCCCGCCGCAGGUGACUACCGUGGGACCAGACGGGGCAUGCGCGGUGUGGAGUUGGGGGAGACCAGGUGGGUCAUCACGUCGCUGCUGCGCAAGAGGAUCCCGGGAACCCCAGCCAGUCCCCUUGGUUUACAGCAGCGGGGGGGAGAACCGGGGAGCAGAUGAGGAGAUGGGCUUCCAGUAGAGGGCACGCCGCGCUUUAUUCCCCGCUUCCCCCUCAUCCCCAUUUGUCCUGUCUGUCCCCGACCUUCCCAUCGUCCCACUGCUCGACAGCACCUCAGGAGGACUUCAAACUUGAUCUUAGCCAAAAGGCCGAGAAGAUCUCAAGAGGACUUCAAGCACGGGAGGCAUCUGCCUCCCUUUCCCACCCAGGUCUCAGGCUCUCGGCCGGUCGCACUUGCUGCUGCCCUGGGCCCAGCUACAUUCCAGUCAGCAAGCGCUCAGAACUCGGGCCCAUAGUUCUUUGCCAAAACCGCCUUGCCUGAGCCAGCUCUGUUCACAGACUGAGCCCCAAAAGAAGGGAGAAGAGUGGCUCUUCUGUGUCCUGGGCUUUUUGGCCUACGACAGGAGUAGGGAAGACAAUGAGUGGCAAUGCGUGGGUCUCACUGGGACCUGGCCAACCCGCCCACCUGCAGGCUGUAAACAAGCUGGGGACUUGGGGGAAGGGAAUGAACAAGUGGGCUCCAGGCUCAGUGUCACUUAGCCUCCCUGACCAUUGGCUAGAAAGGACCUCUGUGCAGUCCCCUGUAUCUCAGGCCCCUUGGUGUCCCUCUGUCCACCACCUCCCUCCUACCACCCCAACUCUGCACUCCAUGCCAAACCUUUCCCACACCAGUCUACUCUAUGUGCAGGUGCCCUCAUAACCGUUGGAAACACAGAAAAAGCAGGUGCACCGACCCCCUCCUUGGCCCUCUGCCAUUAUAUCCACAAAGAGGGAGAAAAAAAGUCACAGAGUAUUUCUUUAAUCCCCGUCAUCCAUUAGAUUGUAAAUUUCAUAUUUGCUUUGCAUGUGUGCAAUAUGUAAGAUUGUGUAUAUAUUCUGUAUGGCCAAAACCUGGCAUAGUGCCUGUCACUUAUCAGGAACUCGAUGAACAUUAGUUGAAUAAAAACGUAUUUAGAUAUGCA